rnacentral:rRNA from 1 species
UACGGAGGGUGCGAGCGUUGUCCGGAAUCAUUGGGCGUAAAGGGCGCGUAGGUGGCGGGACAAGCGUGCGGUGAAAGCCUGGGGCUCAACCCCGGGUCGGCCGUGCGAACUGUUUUGCUUGAGCACUGUAGAGGCAGGCGGAAUUCCGGGUGUAGCGGUGGAAUGCGUAGAGAUCCGGAAGAACACCGGUGGCGAAGGCGGCUGCCUGGGCCAGUUCUGACGCUGAGGCGCGAAAGCGUGGGGAGCAAACAGG